GUGACCGCCGCCGACGGUGCCAGGGUGGAGCUCGACGAGUCCGCCCGCAGCCGCGUCAAGGAGAGCAGCGACUGGGUCAUGUACAGCAUGGCCAACGGCACCGACAGCUACGACGUCACCACCGGCUUCGGCGCCACCUCCCAUCGGAGGACCAAGGAGGGCGACGCUCUGCAGAGGGAGCUCAUUCGGUUCCUUAACGCAGGGGCAUUCGGCACCGGCAGCGAUGGUCACGUGCUGCCAGCGGCCACCACGCGCGCGGCGAUGCUUGUCCGCGUCAACACCCUGCUCCAAGGGUACUCCGGCAUCCGCUUUGAGAUUCUUGAGACAAUUGCCACGCUGCUCAAUGCCAACGUUACAUCAUGCCUGCUGCUCCGGGGCACCAUCGCCGCUAUCGGCGAUCUCGUUCCGCUCUCCUACAUCGCGGGACUUGUCACCGGCCGCCCCAAAUGCCGUGGCUAUGGCUCCCGAUGGUACCAAGGUUAA
rnacentral:rRNA from 1 species